AGCGAACGCUGGCGGCAGGCCUAACACAUGCAAGUCGAACGGACCCUUCGGGGUUAGUGGCGGACGGGUGAGUAACACGUGGGAACGUGCCUUUAGGUUCGGAAUAGCUCCUGGAAACGGGUGGUAAUGCCGAAUGUGCCCUUCGGGGGAAAGAUUUAUCGCCUUUAGAGCGGCCCGCGUCUGAUUAGCUAGUUGGUGAGGUAAUGGCUCACCAAGGCGACGAUCAGUAGCUGGUCUGAGAGGAUGACCAGCCACACUGGGACUGAGACACGGCCCAGACUCCUACGGGAGGCAGCAGUGGGGAAUCUUGCGCAAUGGGCGAAAGCCUGACGCAGCCAUGCCGCGUGAAUGAUGAAGGUCUUAGGAUUGUAAAAUUCUUUCACCGGGGACGAUAAUGACGGUACCCGGAGAAGAAGCCCCGGCUAACUUCGUGCCAGCCGCCGCCGUAACAC
rnacentral:rRNA from 1 species